AAUUUACAUACCACAGAUGCCCCCAGUCAAUUUUUAUCCUGCGUCCGGCACCCCUGGUGCCGGGGACUACCACCUCAAGAAGACUCCACCCGCACGUCCGCCCGUCGCGGCCCCAGUCCGUCGCGUCGGCUUCGCGCUGCCGUCCACCCCCCGCUCCGCCCCGCCCCGCCCCGCCGGCUUCGCACCGCUGCGCACCUGAAAGACGUCGACGACGAGGCUGGCGCCCUCCGCUUGGCUCCGCCGCCCGCCGAGUCGCAGCCGCACGCGGACGGGAGCUCGACGCAGCCCGCCCCCGCCGCCGCGGAGGAGGAGGAGAACACGGCGCUCAAGACUCUACAAGUUCCAUCUAGCUUUGCAAGGCCCAUCAACCGCAGCAUCAUCGGUUCUUCUUCUUCGUAGUCGUCGUCUCAGAAUUCUCUGCGGAUGGAAUAUUCAGACCUGUGGAUCGGACAAAGUAUACUCGUUUGAAUCAUUGAUCAUAGCUGGAGAAAAAACCUAGGAGCUGGGGAUAACUGAUAUGAUAUAUAUGGAAAAGGGAUAGACAUGCUAUUUUAUCUCUAACAAUGAAAGAUGUGAUCAUCUCAACUAACAAUCCAUGGCAGCAACCUGCACGGCUGCGUGGACGAGGGCGCCGCGGCAGGAGCAGGCGGCGGAGAUCCCCAUCGUGCUGUUCCCGUCAGUGGUCUUCCCCGGCGCGACGGUGCAGCUCCAGGCGUUCGAGUUCAGGUACCGGACCAUGGUGCACACGCGGCUCCAGGUUCGGCGUCGUGUACUCCGGCGGGCGGCGGCGCCGCGGCGGAGUGGGAGGCGGGGUGGCGGCCGGCGAGGUGGGGUGCGUCGGCGGCGACCGGUUCCGCGUCGUCGCCGCCGUCAAGACGAAGCCGUACGUGGUCGCGAGGAUCCGCCGCGCCGCCGUAAGCCCGUCGCCGCCCCCCACUCCGCCCCGCUCUACCACCCAACCGAAGCUUCUUCGUCGGCGGCAAUGGCUGAUAGGGGAAGUAGGGGAGAAGUGUAUAGAGAGGAGAAAGAAAUUGCUCUCUGCAACUGCAAGAGUAAAGUUUUCAAAAGAUGAGGAGAUUGGUGGAAGUCACUCUGCACAAGUGCUGCUGGCAAGGGACACGAGGCUAACUAGAGAUUGAGUAGCCACUGCUAGAAUUAUAUGAUUGAUGACAGAAUAGUCAUCUGGCUAGGACCUAUAGGACUCUGUGCAUAAGUAUUAUAUCCAAGAACCGGCACUGACUAGAAGCAGGUCUCCGGUGGCGCAGUCCUCUUCAAGGUCUCCGGCAGGUUUCCAGUAAUGGCCCCAACACCGGCGCUCUCCAGCAGUUAUCAUCCCCUUCCCUCUCAGCUUACCAUAGGACAACCUGGCCUUGCUAUAUUGUGCGCUAGUAAUGUUGAAUUUGGUAAUCUCAUGCAUAAUAAACCCUUUUUGAUCUGUUGAGUACUUGAAUCUGGCCAUUUUAGAUUAGUUCAAUAUUAACUACUCUGCUGAUGCCCAUUGGUACUGUGCUACUGAUUUUGUUGGAAAUCAUGAGUGUGAUUUUUUUUAAUAAAAGAAGGGCAGGAGAUCUGUCUAUUCAAUUGAGAAAAACAGAAAGAAAUAUACAAGAAAUAUACAUACAUGUUCUCAGCCAAAAUUUGGAAGAAACGAAUGCAACAACUAAGAAAACAACAGCUAGAACUAUCUAUUCCUGGUUGAAUUCCCCCUGGGCUAAUCUCCUCCCUGAUAAUAUGUGCCACUUGCAUGUCAGUUCUUGAUUCUUGUUGAAACAUUAUUCGUUCCCUUCCCUGCUAUACAUUCUGUCAGGUCCUAAUUAGGUAUCCAUGCAUUAAUCUUAUAUCUUCUUUGCAUUGAUCCCUUCCCAGUGCAUACCACCAAUCUUUGUUAGACAGAUUGUGCCAAUUGGAUGUUUCCAUCAAGGCCAACUUAUGAGUAUACGAUUCCAUGUAUGAAUAAAGAAUUGACACACUUUGGCUAAAUGGAUCAUAGUCUCAUCCUCCAUGAUACCACAAAGUGAGCAAGAUGAACCACAUUCUUCAGUUUUAUCAGUGAAUUGAAUUAUUGGGGGUGUGGCUUAUUCUGCCCUAGUUCAGUUUGUUCAAAUACUAACUUUUUUUUUUGUCUACUGUCUUACCCUCAAUUUGGCUUUAUAUUAGUUUAAUUGCAGGAAAUACUUCAGCUUGCAAAAGAUGAUGAGAUUAAACUUGGUGGAAGGUGGAAGUCACUCGACACAGUGCUGCUAGUAAGAUACAAGAGGUCAACUGGAGAGUAUCCCAGUACAAUGUAAAGCGCUGCUGGCAUUAGAUGAUGGGAGGAUAGUCAUCUGGCUAGGAUCUACAAGACUUUUGCUCACUCUUUUUCAAGAACAAGCACUUCCACAGGACCUCAGUUUGCUGUUAAUCAGUUUUGAAGGAAUCAUUCCAUUAAUCAGUUUUGCAGCAUCGUUGUAUCGUGUUGCAUUGGAGCCAACAAAGUUGUUGCAAAUUCUUGAAGAUGCUCCAUGUUUUUGUUUUGUACAAUCUUCAGUAAAUGUAAAUAUCAUGUAGGACGUACUUGUCAGUAUACAUCCUAGUACUGACAUAAGUUAGGGGAACUGCAGCUCUGUUUUGUAGCUCCUAGCAUGUUGGUUCUAUAACUGUAUGCAAGAAAAGUGCUAGGGUGUCGGUGGCACUCAUGUAGGUGACAUUCACAGUGCAAAUAAAAAAGGAUGUGGUAUGAAUGUUUGUUCUAUAUUCUCUGAAAUCGUAUCAUUUAUUCAUAUGUCA